UAGGGAAUCUUCGGCAAUGGACGGAAGUCUGACCGAGCAACGCCGCGUGAGUGAAGAAGGUUUUCGGAUCGUAAAGCUCUGUUGUUAGAGAAGAACGUUGGUAGGAGUGGAAAAUCUACCAAGUGACGGUAACUAACCAGAAAGGGACGGCUAACUACGUGCCAGCAGCCGCGGUAAUACGUAGGUCCCGAGCGUUGUCCGGAUUUAUUGGGCGUAAAGCGAGCGCAGGCGGUUCUUUAAGUCUGAAGUUAAAGGCAGUGGCUUAACCAUUGUACGGUUUGGAAACUGGAGGACUUGAGUGCAGAAGGGGAGAGUGGAAUUCGAUGUGUAGCGGUGUAAUGCGUAGAUAUAUGGAGGAGCACCGGUGGCGAAAGCGUCUCUCAGAUCUGUAACUGACGAUGAGGCUCGAAAGCGUAGGGAGCAAACAGG
rnacentral:rRNA from 1 species